CCUACGGGAGGCAGCAGUGGGGAAUAUUGCACAAUGGGGGAAACCCUGAUGCAGCGACGCCGCGUGAGUGAAGAAGUAUCUCGGUACGUAAAGCUCUAUCAGCAGGGAAGAUAAUGACGGUACCUGACCAAGAAGCCGCGGCUAACUACGUGCCAGCAGCCGCGGUAAUACGUAGGGGGCAAGCGUUAUCCGGAUUUACCGGGUGUAAAGGGAGCGUAGACGGCAGCACAAGUCUGGAGUGAAAUCCCGGGGGUUAACCCCGGAACUGCUUUGGAAACUGUGCGGCGGGAGUGCAGGAGGGGUAAGCGGAAUGCGUGGUGUAGCGGUGAAAUGCGUAGAUAGUAGGAAGAACACCGGUGGCGAAGGCAGCAUACUGGACUGUAACUGACGUUGAGGCUCGAAAGCGUGGGGAGCGAACAGGAUUAGAUACCCUAGUAGUC
rnacentral:rRNA from 1 species